UGGGGAAUAUUGCACAAUGGGCGCAAGCCUGAUGCAGCAACGCCGCGUGAGGGACGACGGCCUUCGGGUUGUAAACCUCUUUUAGUAGGGAAGAAGCGAAAGUGACGGUACCUGCAGAAAAAGCACCGGCUAACUACGUGCCAGCAGCCGCGGUAAUACGUAGGGUGCGAGCGUUGUCCGGAAUUAUUGGGCGUAAAGAGCUCGUAGGCGGUCUGUCGCGUCUGCUGUGAAAAUCCCCGAGGCUCAACCUCGGGCCUGCAGUGGGUACGGGCAGACUAGAGUGCGGUAGGGGAGAAUGGAAUUCCUGGUGUAGCGGUGGAAUGCGCAGAUAUCAGGAGGAACACCGAUGGCGAAGGCAGUUCUCUGGGCCGUAACUGACGCUGAGGAGCGAAAGCGUGGGGAGCGAACAGGAUUAGAUACCCUGGUAGUCCACGCCGUAAACGUUGGGCGCUAGAUGUGGGGACCAUUCCACGGUUUCCGUGUCGCAGCUAACGCAUUAAGCG
rnacentral:rRNA from 1 species